AUGGUUCUGGAGGACGAGAGCAGCGACGACAACUCAAGCCUCCCGUACAUGCACUCCGAAACCUCCACCGAUGGGCUGAACCAGGAAGGUCAGAAUUGUGGGUUUGUUCAGUGGGUUGAUGAGCAGUGGCCCCCAACAAUGGAGAAUGCAUUGCUGAAGCUUUGGCCAAUGGUUGAAGAGAGCAAGUCUGCUAGGGUGAAUGAUAAUCUUCAAAGUGCUCUAACUAUUCAUCAGUUGACAGAAGAAAAGAACAAGCUGGAUGCAGACUAUGACAAGUUAGUGAAAGAUGUGCAUCAACUUGUGGACUUUCAGUAG
rnacentral:rRNA from 1 species